rnacentral:rRNA from 1 species
GGAAUAUUGGACAAUGGGCGAAAGCCUGAUCCAGCGGCGUCGCGUGGGUGAUGAAGGCCAUCGGGUUGUAAAGCCCUUUCGUCAGGAAAGAUUAUGCCGGUACCUGAAGAAGAAGCUCCGGCUAACUUCGUGCCAGCAGCCGCGGUAAUACGAAGGGAGCUAGCGUUACUCGGAAUUAUUGGGCGUAAAGCGUGCGUAGGCGGCUUUGUAAGUCAGAAGUGAAAGCCUGAGGCUCAACCUCAGAAUUGCUUUUGAUACUGCAAGGCUAGAGUAUCAUAGGGGAUAGCGGAAUUCUUAGUGUAGAGGUGAAAUUCGUAGAUAUUAAGAGGAACACCGGUGGCGAAGGCGGCUAUCUGGGUGAAUACUGACGCCGUUGCACGAAAGCGUGGGGAGCAA